UACGUAGGGGGCUAGCGUUGUCCGGAUUUAUUGGGCGUAAAGAGCGUGUAGGCGGCCACACAGGUCUGCUGUGAAAACUCGAGGCUCAACCUCGAGCUGUCGGUGGAAACCGUGUGGCUAGAGUCCGGAAGAGGAGAGUGGAAUUCCCGGUGUAGCGGUGAAAUGCGCAGAUAUCAGGAAGAACACCCGUGGCUAAGGCGGCUCUCUAGUACGGUACUGACGCUGAGACGCGAAAGCGUGGGGAGCGAACAGG
rnacentral:rRNA from 1 species